GUGCCAGCAGCCGCGGUAAUACGUAGGUGGCAAGCGUUAUCCGGAAUUAUUGGGCGUAAAGCGCGCGUAGGCGGUUUUUUAAGUCUGAUGUGAAAGCCCACGGCUCAACCGUGGAGGGUCAUUGGAAACUGGAAAACUUGAGUGCAGAAGAGGAAAGUGGAAUUCCAUGUGUAGCGGUGAAAUGCGCAGAGAUAUGGAGGAACACCAGUGGCGAAGGCGACUUUCUGGUCUGUAACUGACGCUGAUGUGCGAAAGCGUGG
rnacentral:rRNA from 1 species